GUCAGGAUCUAGAAGAAGGCUUGGAAAAACCUGACUCAAAAGGGCUUUUUGGGUUGCUUGACAGGAGGAUUUUUCCUAACUUUCUGGCCUAUGUCUUCCAUUAUUUAUUUCUGUCACCCAUUUGCAUGAAUGCAAAAUGCAAAAUGGUGGUUUGUGAUUCAGUGCACACAGAGGACUUUUAUUGAUCUACUGCAUCUAUGCAAAACACAUAGGCUAUUCUCAGUAGCUGCAUGAAACAAUAAAGGAACUUUCUUUAAUAUCCCAGAAGGCACUGUGCUGAAAAGAUUUUUUGUUACUGUUAACAUUAUGAUGGAAUAAACCAAUAGAACAUGAAAAGAUAAUAGCGAGUAGAAAACAUUUGCAUGUUAUCAUGAUUUCAGCUAAGUGCACUGAUUCUAGUGACAGAGAUUUAGAAGCAUUUGGAAGUCAGUCCUGAAUUCAGUCUGCUAUCUUUCCUUAACAUUUUCUGUGCUUAAAAUUUCCCUUGCUCCCACAUCUACCAUGGGGAUUCUCAGUUUUACACAAAGACUCCUUGUUUUCUGUUCUAACACGGCAAAUUUGCUUUCUGCUUGUUGGAUUCUAAAAUGACCUGUGAGUUUUUGUAACCAAAUUUAGUGUGUAAAUUUGAGAAGAAUGUGUACAAGGUUAAAGCAUAGUAAUACAGCUUGGCCCUAAAAUGUUAGGAGAUGUUAAACAUCCUUAGUCAUUUGCACAAUUUUCAUUAACAUUAUUUAUGAGACUGUGGUAUGCAGGAUUAAGCUUUAGCUCCGAAGUAGGAGAAAAAAUAUUUAAUAGGCAACAGUGGAAUUUGGGCAUAAUUUCUAAAUUUGAACUGGUAAAUCUGAACAUCCACUUUCACUCAUCCCAUGACUGCAUCCGUAACUUCUCUCCUGUUUUCCAGGUACUCAAGUGGUGCUUCUAGGAUGCCAGAUGUGCUUCCUCCUAAGACAGAUCCAGGAAUGCAUGGGUUUACUCUAAGGAGAGCAAGACGUAUACAGCUGCAAAAGGAUUUCAAGAUCCAUUCCUGCGCACUAGUGAAAUUCACCACUCCUGGGGUCCACAUCCUCCUGACUGCCCAGAAGCAGUGACAAGAGCACCUGAAGCAGCAUCCACCACUGUGUAGAGGGAGAGAUGAGAGGUGCAAGGCUGAUACAUCUUCAUCUCUUAACACUAUGGACUGAGCCAAAGAAGCUCCAGGGUGCCAGUACCUAAGGAUGGUCUGCAGGUGUCUGGCUGAAAUGGAAAUGCUCCAUGCACCCAGAGGUGUGAGCCACACAUCCCAGUGUUCUGAAGGAAGAAGCAGCCACUCCUGAGCCUUGCAUUUUCUCCCAAGUUCUCUCUACAACCAAGAAAACUGACUCCUUUCCAAAAUACAGCAGAAAAAUGGAAAUUAAAACAGAUAUUUUAAAAGCAAUCUUUCUUUUUUUUUUUUUUUUUUUUUUUUAGUGGAG
rnacentral:lncRNA from 1 species